GACCAUAUUUUAAUUAGGCGUUGCAUUCAAUAUAAUAUUAGUCCUCCGCGUGUAACCAUGCAGUAGGUGUGUAUAUAUUAUACAUAUAUAAUAUAUGUCAUAUAUUAUAUAUGACGCGGCGUUCAAGCGAACAAAUGAAAUCUGUAAAAUGUAAAAAUAAUAAAUACCCUGAUUCGAUGUGUUGAACAGUCUAUAUUAUGGUCAUACAUUUAGAAUGAAAAAGACGGGCCAGAUUAACUUAAUGGACUACUUAUGAAACGAUCUUGUAAAAACUGGACUUACAACUUUUGGUAUCUCAACCAUCGAUAUGUGAUAACUAUAUAAAUACGUAAUAUUUAACAUUUAAAAUCUACAAGAUAAAUAGUUUAUUAACCAUCACUUUACCUAUAAUAUUGAUGGUGUGACAUAUUCAAUUUAUUCGCGCGAAUAAUAUCUAAAGCAAAUGUUGGAGCUUGAAACAAACAGCUAUUAUGCUAGGUGAUUCAAAACAAUUAUUAGCAGAAGUUUAACGAGUGGGCGAAGAAAAAAAAUGUAAAAAAGUAUAAUAAUGUGGGUACUAAUGGGUACCUUCGAGAUACAAUAAUAUGUACAUCGAAACAGUCACCAACACAUAAUAUUAUUUGAUAAUCGUAUAUUAGUAACUAUUUAUAUGACGUGACAAGUGCCUAUUGUGAAUAUAGUUCGUGAAUCGUGAGCACGUGGUGUCUGUACACGGAAGUCUAAUGUUUCGCAAAUAUUAUAGUAAUAUAAGUAGUAAGAUAAAUUUGUUUUUAUCGAUAGAUAUAAAUACGAAGUUCUUCGUAAACAUACCUAACAAUUUUAUUCUCCUAGGUAAUUUUAGUUUUUAUAUUCUACGAACUUAUAAUAUUAUUAACGGUGGUAAACUAAAUAAUAAUAAUUCAAAAUAAACUUAUAAAUUGAUUUCAAGUUAAAGUAGAGGCAAAUGAGUAAAGUUGAAGUUAAAUGAAAUCAAAUAAAAGGUAAUUUAAAAAAUCGAAAUUGGCUCAAUUCAGUGGUAUAUAUACACACGAGGGAAGAGUGUCUAACUAUAUCUCAGUGGCGUAGCCAGGGGAGGCUUAGGGGGCUGCAGCUCCC